UUGCACAUGUUCAGCCGCCUGUGGAAGAUUGUAAGAAUUAUUUUUCCAGGAUGUUAUUCAGUACCGACUGGACUCUUCUUUCUCUUGCUAUUCCUGUGUUUUCUCGAGCAGUACCUGGCCUACUACAUGGGACUGGUUCCCAGUAAAUACUACAAGGUGUUUGAUGAUCGGGACCAGCAUGAGUUUAUGUAUCUCACUCUGAGGGCCUGUGGAUUGAUUUUGUCAAUUGCAUGUGUAAGUGUAUUAGUAUGAGACAGGAAGUUUUACUGUUGCAUAAUUAGAACCAGAGCAUUUUCUUUAUGUAACCUUUGCAAGCAAGCAAACCAGUUUUAUUUUUAAAAUGUGCAUAAUUGUUAUAAAAUUAAAGUUACAUUUAUUU